rnacentral:rRNA from 1 species
UACGUAGGUGGCAAGCGUUGUCCGGAAUCAUUGGGCGUAAAGCGUACCGAUAGGUGGUUUACCAUGUCAGAUGUGAAAUCUCCGAGCUUAACUCGGAAUCUGUCAUUUGAAACUGGUAGACUAGAGGGGCAAAGAGGAAGCUGGAACGAACGGUGUAGUAGUGAAAUGCGUUGAUAUCGUUCGGAACACCAAUAGCGAAGGCGGGCUUCUGGGUGCCACCUGACACUGCUAGGACGAAAGCGUGGGGAGCGAAUGGG